CAAAGCACGAAGCAAGACGACAACGGCAACAUCGUCUCUUCCGCCUCCUCGCAACCGCAUGUCUUCUACGGCAGCAGCGACAUCAUCUCCUCCUCCCAAAGGCGGCAUGUCUUCUACAGGAGAAGGGAGACGCUUCUUCCCCGAGCCGACAGACCCCUUCUGAGAACCUUCAGCGACGUCGCUUUGCGGGCUGUGGAACCGAGACCUGGCUUUCGUCGACGCCGUCGACGGGGUGUAGCUCGCAACAGACAGCGCGCUCGACAGGCUGCUGUCGUCGCUCACCGAUGACCUCGUGACCCGGUGCCUGCUCCUGAUACUCGACCCGUCGUCCGCGGACCACGCGCCGGUUCCCGGGCUCACCGGUGUCUUCUUGCUCGCCACCGACGCCAGCUUGGAGCGUGGCGUCACGGGCGACUCGUUUCUGGGACUCGGCUUACUCUUGCUUGGGUUCACUGAUGCUUUUGAUGCCGGGUUAGAACGCGGGGUUACCGGCGCCUGGCUUGGUCUUUGAGCUGCCGACAGGAUCCUCUUCGGCUUCACAGCGUCGUGGCCGUGCUUCUCCUGCGGCCCUGCCGCCGUCAAUCGCUCCGACAAGCUCCAACCCCAUUGCAGAUUGUUCAAGUCGAUAAACAUCGGAGUCGGGGAUUUGGAAGAGCUCUUUCCCUGUCACGGACCCAACGCAUCGCAUCAAAAGAUGAGCACCGCACCCCAGAUGAAAUCGAAUGCGCAGUAGUAGUACCUGGCGGGCAAAUGCGUAGGUUAAUGCCCUCUCUCUUCUCGUGGCAGCCUCCUGCCUGUCGAGUAGCUUUGCCUCGAUUUGCUCUUUGGAUCGAGGACUAUCAUUCCACUCUCCGAUCUGUGCACCAAAAUCCAGCAGGUGAGCAACACGAAUGCAGAAGAGGAAGCCACAGAGUUGAUGAAAACGAUGGUGCAUGGAAACCUUCGCUUUCUGCUGCUCUCUUUCUUGUUUGAGUUGCAGCUGCCGCAGCAGAGCCUGGUGUUCCUCGGCCAUCCUCAUCCUCCUCGAACGUACCUGUGCCUGAACCACCGCCAUGGCUUGCAACCGGCGCACCAUGUUUGCGGUCUGAGACCCGACGGCGCUUCCAUCGAUUAAGUUCUUUAGCCUGAUCAGUCUUUUCAGAGUUCCCAUUGCUCUCCUCGCCUUGACACAAUGUGCAACAAAAGAGAUGAAGACGACGAACUCUCGAGCCAAGAGACACAAGAACACAUACCAGGAAUCCUCGGAAAGCAGCCUGGAUCUUGGUGGCAGCGGUCGCCUCACUUAUUGUCGACCGACCGACCUCCGUUGCAGCCCGAGAUGAACGCUUGGACUUACCAUAGUCUCGACAGCAGCUGGGGAUCAACGCUUUCUUGAGGGCAGAAGUCCACUUCCUCCUCCCCUCCAUGUUCUUGCUUUCUCCUCCUCUCGGUCUACUAUAUCCUUUUGUUAGGUGACUCUUGUCCGCAAACCUUCAUGCACGAACAGCAAUAUAUCAAAUCCUGUGAGAGCAUAUAUAUAUAUAUAUAUCAUAUUUGAAUUAGAUUUCAGCUCCGGGAAAGAGAAGAACGAAUCACAGCGGAAGUGAGAGGAGGGGCGACGGCAGCAGAAGAUCAAAUUGGGAGCAGAGGAACGAGAGAAGCUUUCCAGAAUCCAGAGCCAUCACCUCGUGCGCGGCGGCGAAGCAGCGGGAGUCCGGUGCUUGUUCCUGGACGAAUGGCGGGGUGCCGGGGGGGUUGGGGUGCGGAUGGCGUCCUUAUUGAAGCCGCAGCAGCUUCCCCCUCUCCCUCCCUCCUCCACCGCUCCUCUUCCUCCUUCGAGCUGUCACUUGUUCUCCGUUUUAAGGAUCCUCUCUCUGUGCGUAUCUAAACUAAGGUGUCGCCCGUGUUUAGGCCUCCUUUGUUGAGGCGGUCGUUCACGUCGGGGCGAUGGUUGUCGUCGCCACGAUGGCUUCUGGUGUAUGAUACGAGUAUAUGCUCGUUGACUGGUUCUGCUGGGGAUCGAACGGACCGAGUGGAGUUCGCUGUCUUCCCUCCGUCAGCGUUCUGCGUUCUCGUCACCACCCGACCCGCCUCAUUCAUUAGCUGACGUCAAGAUAUCCCUCGUGACGUCAUCCGAUUUGGCCCGGUCGGAUCGGAGCACCACCAACAGCGAACCGGGUUCAUGCUGACGACAUUGCACCAUCAUGUGGUUAUCAUUGACCAAGUGGGGAAACAUAGGAUUAAAGAUCUGGAGAUCUUGAAAUCACCUGUAUAAAUUCAUUUUUCUCAACAAAUAUGAGAUCGUGAAUGUUCAUUUUAA